UGCGGCUUGCCACUCUGAAUCCUCAGC
rnacentral:piRNA from 1 species